AGUGACCUCACUCCCUGUACUCGCCGCUGGGACUUGAGCUUGUUUUUCAUCAGAAACUGGACCCUUCCUUGAGAACAAGAGAAAACAUUCUCUAAGAGCAGCACCAGCCAGCGCCCCACACCCUCGCCGUCCGAGCCCUACGCUUUCCCCAAGUAUUUGUGUCACAGAGGAGCGAAUGGGGCAGAAGAGGCCGGUCGCGCUUCCAGAAAAACAGAUCUGGUUACCCAGGGCAUGCUCCGCCCGGUCGGAUUUUCCUGCACUCCCCUUGGCCUUUUAAAAAACGAAUCCAUCCCAUUCUCACAAACAGGCCAGGCUCCGCCUUCUGGGAUUCGGAAGCGGGCAGCACUUGAACAAGUGGACACCCUCUGGUCUGGCCGAGGGAGGAUGACCGAACGGAGAGAAAUGCUUUCUGAAAAUCCCCAAACAGAUAAGGCCACGGCCUCCCCACAUCCUUUGGCUGAAGCCCCCGGUCCUCAUCCAUGAAGCCUCGCCCACCAUGUUUUAUGGGACGCACUUCAUCAUGUCCCCGCCCACCAAGAGCAAACUGAAGCGGCAGAGCCAGCUGUUGUCCAGCAUGCUGUCCCGGACGCUGACCUACAAGUACCGGGACCUGGACUCCACCUUCUCUAGCCUGGGCGCCAGUGACGAUCCCGCCGAGCUCUCCACCCAGCUCUCAGCCCCUGGUGUCCUGAAGGUGUUUGGUGACAGUGUCUGCACAGGAACCCACUACAAGAGUGUCCUGGCCACCGGCACCUCCAGUGCCCGUGAGCUGGUGAAGGAGGCGCUGGAGCGGUACGCCCUGGACCCCGGGCAGGCCGGCCAGUACGUGCUGUGUGACGUGGUGGGCCAAGCCGGCGACGCCGGGCAGCAGUGGCAGGCCCAGUGCUUUCGGGUGUUUGGGGACAGUGAGAAGCCCCUCUUGAUCCAGGAAUUAUGGAAACCCCGAGAAGGUUUAUCCCGGAGGUUUGAGCUGAGGAAGAGGUCGGACGUGGAGGAGCUGGCAGCCAAGGAGGUGGACACCAUCACGGCAGGGAUAAACGCCCAGGCCCGGAGGCUGCAGCGGAGUCGUGCAAAGGGAACCCCAGCCCUGGCCCUGGGGGAUGCCCGGAGCUCUCCUCCGCCCCGGUUGCGCCGCACAGUCAGUGAGACCAGCCUGAGCCCAGUGAACGCCCUGCCUGCUGCCACCCAGGGCUCUGAGGAGCCCGGCCCGGACACCAUGCGGUACUCGCUGUACCAUUCCCCGCACUUGCUCCUUCUGCAGGGCUACAGCCAGCAGCACGACAGCCUGGUGUAUGUGCUCAACCGGGACCGGCACACGGUGGGCCAGCGAACCCCCUCCAGCAAGCCCAGCAUCAGCCUCUCGGCCCCCGACAUCCUGCCUCUGCACUGCACCAUUCGCCGGCACCCGCUACCGGACAGCGGCCAGCCCGGGGGGAGGCUGGUCCUGGAACCCAUCCCCGGGGCGCCCAUCUCCGUCAACUUCUCCGAGGUGGGGCGCAGGACCGUGGUGCUGCACCACGGGGACCUGCUCUCCCUGGGGCUCUACUACCUGCUGCUGUUCAAGGACCCCGCGCAGGCCCAGCCCCUGCCGGCCCGGGCCUUGGCGCGCCUCCGGGCCGUGCCGCAGAGCUGCCGGCUGUGCGGAGCCGCGCUUGGGGCCCGGGAUGCCACCUGCCCUACUCAGGCCGCCCUGCCCCGGCGCCAGCAGCUGCUCCUGGAGUUUGAGCCCCACCUGGAGGACACGCUGCUGCAGAGGAUCAUGACGUUGAUCGAGCCAGGCGGCGACGACCACAAGCUGACCCCCGCCUUCUUGCUGUGCCUCUGCAUCCAGCACUCGGCCACCCACUUCGAGCCGGGCAUGUUUGGGCAGCUCCUGCUCAAGAUAGCCAGGCUGAUCCGCGAGACUAUCUGGGAGAAAACCAAAGAACUAGCAGAGAAACAGGCGCAACUCCAGGAGCCCAUCUCGCUGGCCGGCUGCGCCAUGGCUGAUCUGGUUCCAGACUUGCAGCCCAUUCUUUUCUGGAUGUCUAAUUCCAUCGAGCUUCUGUACUUUAUCCAGCAGAAAUGCCCACUCUACAUGCAGAGCAUGGAGGAGCAGCUGGACGUCACAGGCUCUAAGGAGUCGCUGUUCUCCUGCACGCUGACGGCCAGCGAGGAGGCCAUGGCGGUGCUGGAGGAGGUGGUGCUGUACGCCUUCCAGCAGUGCGUCUACUACGUCUCCAAGUCCCUGUACAUCUGCCUCCCAGCACUCCUGGAGUGCCCACCAUUCCAGACGGAGCGCCGUGAGAGCUGGUGUUCGGCCCCCGAACUGCCCGAGGAGCUGCGCCGCGUGGUGUCCGUGUACCAGGCAGCCCUGGACCUCCUGCGGCAGCUGCAGGUGCACCCCGAGGUGGCCUCGCAGAUGCUUGCCUACCUCUUCUUCUUCUCCGGGACACUGCUCCUCAACCAGCUCCUCGACAGGGGCCCCUCCUUGAGCUGCUUCCACUGGCCCAGAGGUGUCCAGGCCUGCGCCCGCCUGCAGCAGCUCCUGGAGUGGAUGCGGAGCGCCGGCUUCGGGGCGGCUGGAGAGCACUUCUUCCGGAAGCUCUCCUGCACCCUCAACCUGCUGGCCACGCCCAGGGCCCAGCUCAUCCAGAUGAGCUGGACAGCCCUGCGGGCCGCGUUCCCCGCCCUGAGCCCAGCACAGCUGCACCGACUGCUGACUCACUACCAGCUGGCCUCGGCCAUGGGCCCCGUGAGCACCUGGGAGCCGGGGGCCCAGGACAGUCCUGAGGCCUUCAGGUCAGAGGAUGUCCUGGAGUCCUACGAGAACCCCCCACCCAUCGUCCUGCCCAGCGAGGGCUUCCAGGUGGACUUGGAAGCCAACUGCCUGGACGACAGCAUCUACCAGCACCUGCUGUACAUCCGCCACUUUCUGUGGGGCCUGCGGAGCAGAGCCAGCCCUGGCAGCCCUGGCAGUGGGGCCCCCCAGCCAGCGUGCCCCGAGGGUAUGCACCACGCAAUCCCUGACGGGCAUCCAGAGGCCCCGAGCUGCCCCCUGGCUUCCAGGGACCCUGGCCCAGCAGCCCGGGAAGCUGCCCCAGAGCGUACUCUUCCCUUGAGGGGGGCUCCCUGGGCACAGGCACCCCCUGGAAGGCAACCCAGCCGUGGGGGCUCCCAGGCUGGCCCUGCGCACACGGACUCGUCCUGCUUGCUCACGCCUCCCAGCACUCCACUCGGCCCUGAGCCUGGGGACCCCGACUGGGCAGAGUCUGGUGGCCCCUGCGGAAAAGCGCUCCCAGAAAGGCAGAGGAACGGACCCAGCGGCCUCCGGGGCACAGCUCUGGAAGGAGACUCUGCAGCCCCUGAGGACGAGUCCCCUCCAGCCCCGUCCAGUCGCAGCUCCAGCACUGAGGACUUCUGCUACGUCUUCACCGUGGAGCUGGAACGAGGCCCCUCCGGGCUGGGGAUGGGCCUGAUCGACGGGAUGGUGAGAGGCCCAGGACCCCCGCCCCACCCCCGUGCAGGCUGCCUGGCUUCUGCCGUUCAUGCGAGCCUGGCUGCAGCUUGCGUGGCCACAGGGCUACAGGAAGGCCUUCGGGGAGGAGAGUGGGGUGGUCCCUGCAGCUGGGACGGAGGACCUGGCCUAUCCAAUGGCCGUGCCCCCUGGGCCUGCUGUCUCUUGCCUCUGUCCUCAAGCCUUUGGGGUCUGUCCUGGGCCUGUGGGGACUGUGGUGUCCACUGCUUUUCUGGAGGGACACGUGAAACCAUGAGUGGGCCUGGCUGGAUGCCGGGCAGGGGCCUGUAGGUGCCAAGGGAGGGGCUGCGGGGGUCCUCGCUGGGGACAGUGAGAGUCAGGGGCCUGCAGAGCUCUGAGGCCUCUGCUUGUCCCCAGCACACACGCCUGGGUGCCCCCGGGCUCUACAUCCAGACCCUGCUCCCAGGCAGCCCCGCAGCGGCCGAUGGGCGCCUGUCGCUAGGGGACCGAAUCCUGGAGGUGAACGGCAGCAGCCUCCUGGGCCUUGGCUACCUGAGAGCCGUGGACCUGAUCCGUCACGGCGGGAAGAAGAUGCGGUUCCUGGUUGCCAAGUCUGACGUGGAAACAGCCAAGAAGAUCCAUUUCCGCACACCCCCCUAGGGGGACUGCGAGGACACCCCCACACGCCCGGUGCCCGGUCCUGCCUGGUGACACGGGGCUUCCUCCCGCCUUCAUCCCUGUUUUGUAACUGACCAAGUCGGGUCCCAGGUGGGGAGCCUCACCUUGGGGACACGCCUGUUGAUAACAUGCGUCUCAGUGUAGGUUUUAUUUAUAUGGUAGAUGACGCGACGUUGUGAUGUUUGUUACAGAGCUUUUAUGUUUAAAGACUUUAAUGGAGAAGUACGGAUUCAAUAAACUAUUUUUCCCGUUCUUA